AAUUUGUAUGAUUUUGACGUAUGUUUGUAUUUGGAGUAUGCAGAUUCCGAACAUGUAAGUUUUAUGUGAAUGUGAUGCAUACUUUUAAAGUUAUGAAUAAUGUGGAAAAUCUGUAUUUCUCUGCCUGUGAUAAUUGCAUUACCCAUUGUGUAAGGUAAUUGUAUCACAGGCAGAGGGGAGGAUUUUUUGUGGGAGUGUCUGAGUGUAUUGUACGUGUUUAUCGGUUGUUUUCCA